AACCUGCCCAGCAGAACGACCCGAGAACUCUUGUCACCUUUUCUAGGGGAGAAGGGGCGUGGAGCCUCGCAUUUCUCCCCCUCUUCGAGGGUGUGGCCAUGCCUCUGUGCGUCCCUGUGCAUCGACACCUGUGGCGUCUCUGGUGUGUGUCGCAUUCCCGAAUGAACAAUGAACCCCGGCGCGAUUUGCGCCAAGGAACUUACAACGGAAAGAGCGUUGCUCUCGCUAUCGUGUGAGGGCAAAGCUUCUAUCUCCGAUCUCUUAACGACUCUCGGCAACGGAUAUCUCGGCUCUCGCAUCGAUGAAGAACGUAGCGAAAUGCGAUACUUGGUGUGAAUUGCAGAAUCCCGUGAAUCAUCGAGUCUUUGAACGCAAGUUGCGCCCUAGGCCAUUAGGCUGAGGGCACGCCUGCCUGGGCGUCACGCAUUGCGUCGCCCCCCACCGAUGUGUUGGGGAGCGGAAAUUGGCCCCCCGUGCCCCCUGUGUGCGGUCGGCCUAAAAUUGAGCCCUUGGCGAAGAGCGUCAAGACAAACGGUGGUUGAUGAACCCCUUUUUCCUGAGAUUUGGAUGUCUUGCACGCUGUCGUCCUCGCGGCCCAUGUGACCCCGAUGUGUUGCUGAGAUGACACCACCAUUGCGACC
rnacentral:rRNA from 1 species